rnacentral:rRNA from 1 species
GACGAACGCUGGCGGCGUGCUUAACACAUGCAAGUCGAACGGAAAGGCCCUGCUUUUGUGGGGUGCUCGAGUGGCGAACGGGUGAGUAACACGUGAGUAACCUGCCCUUGACUUUGGGAUAACUUCAGGAAACUGGGGCUAAUACCGGGUAGGAGCUCCUGCUGCAUGGUGGGGGUUGGAAAGUUUCGGCGGUUGGGGAUGGACUCGCGGCUUAUCAGCUUGUUGGUGGGGUAGUGGCUUACCAAGGCUUUGACGGGUAGCCGGCCUGAGAGGGUGACCGGCCACAUUGGGACUGAGAUACGGCCCAGACUCCUACGGGCGGCAGCAGUGGGGAAUAUUGCACAAUGGGCGGAAGCCUGAUGCAGCAACGCCGCGUGCGGGAUGACGGCCUUCGGGUUGUAAACCGCUUUCGCCUGUGACGAAGCGUGAGUGACGGUAAUGGGUAAAGAAGCACCGGCUAACUACGUG